AACGAACGCUGGCGGCAUGCCUAACACAUGCAAGUCGAACGAGACCUUCGGGUCUAGUGGCGCACGGGUGCGUAACACGUGGGAAUCUGCCCUUUGCUUCGGAAUAACAGUUAGAAAUGACUGCUAAUACCGGAUGAUGUCGAAAGACCAAAGAUUUAUCGGCAAAGGAUGGGCCCGCGUAGGAUUAGGUAGUUGGUGGGGUAAAGGCCUACCAAGCCGACGAUCCUUAGCUGGUCUGAGAGGAUGAUCAGCCACACUGGGACUGAGACACGGCCCAGACUCCUACGGGAGGCAGCAGUGGGGAAUAUUGGACAAUGGGCGAAAGCCUGAUCCAGCAAUGCCGCGUGAGUGAUGAAGGCCUUAGGGUUGUAAAGCUCUAUUACCAGGGAUGAUAAUGACAGUACCUGGAGAAUAAGCUCCGGCUAACUCCGUG
rnacentral:rRNA from 1 species